UAGUGCUGCCUCCCAAUUCCGCCAUCAUUUUAGGUGGUUGUGGUUUUCAGCUAAAUAUGAAAAACAAAUUCCAACUGGAAUAGCCUAAACAGUAAUUAAAAUUUACAGUCUCACAUAAUGGAAUGUUGUAAGGUUGACGACUUGCUGAAAUGAAACUAGGAAGGCU